rnacentral:rRNA from 1 species
UACGAAGGGGGCUAGCGUUGCUCGGAAUCACUGGGCGUAAAGGGUGCGUAGGCGGGUCUUUAAGUCAGGGGUGAAAUCCUGGAGCUCAACUCCAGAACUGCCUUUGAUACUGAAGAUCUUGAGUUCGGGAGAGGUGAGUGGAACUGCGAGUGUAGAGGUGAAAUUCGUAGAUAUUCGCAAGAACACCAGUGGCGAAGGCGGCUCACUGGCCCGAUACUGACGCUGGGGCACGAAAGCGUGGGGAGCAAACAGGG